UACGAAGGGAGCUAGCGUUGUUCGGAAUUACUGGGCGUAAAGGGCGCGUAGGCGGUUUGGCAAGUUGGAUGUGAAAGCCCAGGGCUCAACCCUGGAAUUGCAUUCAAGACUGCCUUACUUGAAUUCGGUAGAGGUUGGUAGAAUUCCCAGUGUAGAGGUGAAAUUCGUAGAGAUUGGGAAGAAUACCCGUGGCGAAGGCGGCCAACUGGACCGACAUUGACGCUGAGGCGCGAAAGCGUGGGGAUCAAACAGG
rnacentral:rRNA from 1 species